CGUCGCAUCUAUACAUGCAGUCGAGCGGACAGAAGGGAGCUUGCUCCCGGAUGUUAGCGGCGGACGGGUGAGUAACACGUGGGUAACCUGCCUGUAAGACUGGGAUAACUCCGGGAAACCGGAGCUAAUACCGGAUAGUUCCUUGAACCGCAUGGUUCAAGGAUGAAAGACGGUUUCGGCUGUCACUUACAGAUGGACCCGCGGCGCAUUAGCUAGUUGGUGGGGUAAUGGCUCACCAAGGCGACGAUGCGUAGCCGACCUGAGAGGGUGAUCGGCCACACUGGGACUGAGACACGGCCCAGACUCCUACGGGAGGCAGCAGUAGGGAAUCUUCCGCAAUGGACGAAAGUCUGACGGAGCAACGCCGCGUGAGUGAUGAAGGUUUUCGGAUCGUAAAGCUCUGUUGUUAGGGAAGAACAAGUGCGAGAGUAACUGCUCGCACCUUGACGGUACCUAACCAGAAAGCCACGGCGGGCUGCGUGCCAGCAGCCGCGGUAAUACGUAGGUGGCAAGCGUUGUCCGGAAUUAUUGGGCGUAAAGGGCUCGCACGCGGUUUCUUAAGUCUCACGUGAAAGCCCCCGCCUCAAC
rnacentral:rRNA from 1 species